rnacentral:rRNA from 1 species
GGCUAAAACAUGCAAGUCGAACGCGAAAGUCACUUCGGUGGCGAGUAGAGUGGCGAAAGGGCGAGUAAUGCAUUCCUACGUGCCUUAAGGCCAGGGAUAGCGACUGGAAACGGUCGGUAAUACCUGAUAAUCCGGCAACGGCAAAGGCUGGUCGCCAGGGGAGCGGGGAACGUCCUAUCAGGUUGUUGGUGAGGUAAAAGCUCACCAAGCCUAAGACGGGUAGCGGGUGUGAGAGCAUGACCCGCCGCAUCGGGACUGAGACACUGCCCGGACUCCUACGGGAGGCUGCAGUAACGAAUAUUCCGCAAUGCGCGAAAGCGUGACGGAGCAAUGCCGCGUGCAGGAUGAAGCCUCUAGGGGUGUAAACUGCUGUCAGGGUUUAGGAAUAAUGACCAGACCCAAAGGAAGGGCCGGCUAACUUCGUGCCAGCAGCCGCGGUAAUACGAAGGGCCCGAGCGUUGCGCGGAAUCACUGGGCUUAAAGCGUGCGCAGGCGGAUCUGUAAGUACCUUGUGAAAUCCCAUGGCUCAACCAUGGAACUGCUCGGUAUACUGCAAAUCUUGAGAUCGGUAGGGGCCAUCGGAACGAUAGGUGGAGCGGUGAAAUGCGUAGAUAUCUAUCGGAACGCCUAAGGCGAAGGCAGGCUACUGGGCUGGACCUGACGCUGAGACACGAAAGCAUGGGUAGCGAACAGGAUUAGAUACCCUGGUAGUCCAUGCCGUAAACGAUGUGCACUAGAUCCCGGAGGCUCUGACGCCAUCGGGGUCGAAGAUAAAUUGAUAAGUGCACCGCCUGGGGAGUACGGUCGCAAGGCUAAAACUCAAAGGAAUUGACGGGGGAUCACACAAGCGGUGGAGCAUGUGGCUUAAUUCGAGGCAACGCGAAGAACCUUAUCCUGGGUUUGACAUGCAUGGAUUAGCUUCUAGAAACAGGAGCCACACUCUUUGAGUGAAACGUGCACAGGUGCUGCAUGGCUGUCGUCAGCUCGUGCUGUGAAGUGUCGGGUUAAGUCCCUUAACGAGCGAAACCCCUAUCUUUAGUUGCCAGCGAGUAAUGUCGGGGACUCUAGAGAGACUGCCGGUGUUAAACCGGAGGAAGGUGGGGAUGACGUCAAGUCCUCAUGGCCUUUAUGCCCUGGGCUGCACACGUGCUACAAUGCGGCGUACAGAGCGAAGCAAUAUCGUAAGGUGGAGCAAAUCGCACAAAGCGCCGCUCAGUUCGGAUUGUGGUCUGCAACUCGACCACAUGAAGCUGGAAUCGCUAGUAAUCGCGUAUCAGCUACGACGCGGUGAAUACGUUCCUGAGCCUUGUACACACCGCCCGUCAAGUCAUGGAAGCCGGUAGUGCCCGAAGUGGCCCUGAAUCAAGGGUCCCUACGGCAAGAUCGGUGACUGGGACUAAGUCGU